AAUAGAUACCCGGGUAGUCCACGCCGUAAACGAUGGAUACUAGCUGUUGGGGGGCAACUUCAGUGGCUAAGCGAAAGUGAUAAGUAUCCCACCUGGGGAGUACGAACGCAAGUUUGAAACUCAAAGGAAUUGACGGGGGCCCGCACAAGCGGUGGAGCAUGUGGUUUAAUUCGAUGAUACGCGAGGAACCUUACCAAGGCUUAAAUGCAGACUGACCGAUUUGGAAACAGAUCUUUCGCAAGACAGUUUACAAGGUGCUGCAUGGUUGUCGUCAGCUCGUGCCGUGAGGUGUCAGGUUAAGUCCUAUAACGAGCGCAACCCCUGUUGUUAGUUGCCAGCGAGUCAUGUCGGGAACUCUAACAAGACUGCCAGUGCAAACUGUGAGGAAGGUGGGGAUGACGUCAAAUCAUCACGGCCCUUACGCCUUGGGCUACACACGUGCUACAAUGGCCGGUACAGAGAGCAGCCACCUCGCGAGGGGGUAGCGAAUCUAUAAAGCCGGUCACAGUUCGGAUCGGAGU
rnacentral:rRNA from 1 species